CUAUUAACCCCACUGAAUAUAUAUUUUCCAAGGGGCCGUCGAGUUUCUUAUAAACCAAACCACCAAUUCAACCUUCUAUCAUUGUUUCAUCGCCAUCCCUCUCUCUCUCUCUCUCUCUCUCUGGUAAUAACUGUUUUUGCAGAAUAUGGAAUCAUUCCACUUCUGUAACGUUAGCAUAUGCUCAUGGUUUCCUCAUGCAUCAACCAUACCUUUUCCUUUUCCCAACUCCUAAUCUUCUCUUCAUCUGAGUUUUUUUUCUCUUUUAUCAAAAAUCACGUAAACAUUCGAUUUGUAAAUGGAGGAAGAACGGCGCGUUGUUCUGUUCGGGAAAUACGAAAUAGGAAGGCUUCUAGGCAAAGGAACCUUCGCAAAAGUCUACCACGCAAAACACAUCACCACCGGCGAGAGCGUGGCGAUCAAGAUCAUCAACAAAGACCACGUCAUGAAACGCCCCGGCAUGAUGGAUCAGAUCAAGCGCGAGAUCUCCAUCAUGAGGCUCGUCCGCCACCCCAACAUCGUCGAGCUCAAAGAAGUCAUGGCGACCAAGACCAAGAUCUUCUUCGUGAUGGAGUUCGUCAGAGGCGGCGAGCUUUUCGCCAAAGUCGUCAAAGGGAAACUCAAGGAAGACGCGGCGCGCAGAUACUUCCAGCAGCUGAUCUCGGCCGUCGAUUUCUGCCACAGCAGGGGCGUCUCCCAUCGCGAUCUGAAGCCGGAGAAUCUCCUCGUCGACGAGAACGGAGAUCUCAAGGUCUCCGACUUCGGACUCUCGGCCUUGCCCGAGCAGCUUCUCCAAGACGGGUUGCUACACACUCAGUGCGGGACGCCUGCUUACGUGGCGCCCGAGGUUUUAAGAAAGAAGGGAUACGACGGAGCGAAAGCGGAUAUUUGGUCGUGCGGCGUCGUUUUGUACGUGCUCCUCGCUGGAUACCUUCCGUUUCAGGAAGAGAAUCUCAUGAACAUGUAUCGAAAGAUCUUCAAGGCGGAGUUCGAUUUUCCUCCGUGGUUUUCGCCGGAAGCGAGGAGGCUGAUCUCGAAGCUCCUCGUCGUCGAUCCCGAGAAACGGAUCUCGAUUCCGGCGAUCACGCGUACGCCGUGGUUUCGGAAAACCUUCAAAGCUCCGAUGAUCGCGGCGAUUAACUCGCCGGGAAACGAAUUGGAGGAGGAGGAGGACGGAGCGGCGGUGUCGCCGAAGUUUUUCAACGCGUUCCAGUUCAUCUCCUCGAUGUCGUCGGGGUUCGAUCUGUCGAGUCUGUUCGAGAGCAAGAGGAAGGUGAGGUCCAUGUUCACGUCGCGGUGGUCUGCGGCGGAGAUUGUGGCGAAGAUCGAAGGGAUCGGGAAGGAGAUAGGGAUGAAGGUGAAGAGGACGAAGGAUUUCAAGGUGAGGAUGCAGGGGAAGACGGAGGGGAGGAAGGGGCAGAUAUCGGUGACGGCGGAGGUUUUCGAGGUUGCGCCGGAGGUUGCCGUCGUGGAGCUGUGUAAAUCGGCUGGAGACACUCUGGAGUAUAACAAGUUGUAUGAGGAGCAAGUCAGGCCGGCGUUGAAGGACAUCGUGUGGUCGUGGCACGGUGACAGCAAUAAUAAUAAUAAUAUUAUUAUUGAUGACAGUAAUAUUAAUAAUUAUAUUAGCGAUGAAAACUCUGGUAGUGACUGUGAGAGAAUAUAAUGAUAGUAAUGUGAAGCUGUAAAUUUUGUUUGUUUAAUCGCCGGCUUGUUAUUAGACUCGGGAAGAUUUUGUAAAUCGUGGUUAUCACCUUAAGCAACUUAAAUUAGUCAUACAUUUUAGUAUCACAUUUAAUGUUUGUUUGACCCAAAAAUGGCUGAAUGUUUUACAUGAAUAUGCGAAUGUAUAGUUUUAACCUCUAUUGUAUGAAGAAUUACAAGAGAUUUUAUAUUAAAUUGAAGUUGUGUACUAGCUAGUAGUAUGUUGCAUAACUGCUACCAAUGUGGUUUGCUUUAAUUUUAGGAAUGACUUAGGCCAAACAUAUAUUAAAGCUGACAAAAUAACUAAUAAAGUUAAUAUGAAAUACUUGACAUAAGCCAAUAGAAAAUCUUAUGAAAAUAACUGGAAUUUUGUUGUUAGUGUGUAUUUUCAUUUCUGACUAUUUAGUAAAUAAUUUUUUUAGGUAAAUCAUUUCAUAUCAAAAUAUCAUGUAGAAAGCAUAUAACAUGAUAAAUAACAUGAUAAAUGUUCUUCAAAAUGUCAAUUAAGGGGGGAUUCAAAAACAUAAAUAUCUACUAAUAUGUCAAUUUUUUUGUUUAUCUGUAAUUUAUAAUAUUUAAACAUGUUAUAAAAUAGAAAAAUGGAAAUUUAACUUUAAAGCUUUACAUGAGAUAUUUAAAGUCCGGUUGAAUCUAACUAAUGCUUAUUGUAUUCACGUAACAGUAUAUCAAAAUAUCUAGUAGCACUACUAAUCAAUGACAUUUUGUCAUUUUUAGCACAUGAUUUAACGUUAACUACAAGAACUUCGUGAGUCAUUUUUCCUGUUUAGUUAAUUGAGAUAUUGUGUCACUCAGCAUAUGCAUAUUUUCUUUAAUAUUACAAUUAAUUUAAUAACUUUUGAAAAUGAAAUACGUUACUUUGACCAGGUCCAGGACAUAUUUAAUACUAACAUUUUGUUGUUCACCGCCAGUAUAAUUACAGACAGAUUUCAGUGGGCGAGUGGUUUAACUACAAAUUAGCGACACAUAACGAUUGGACUAGUGGAUACGAUAACGUUAGCUUGCGUGAUGGAGAAAAAGUACCGGACACAAAACUUGCAGAUAAUUGGUGAGUUUUGAGAAGAACCGGCACGUGUUUGUGUCGUAGAGAGUCCAAAACAACACACCUUUCCUUGUAUUACAAAGUCAAAUUAUAGAAAGAGUAAUUUCAAAGAACAAAUUCACGACAAAAGCCAUUUUAAACGAGGAAGAUACAUCAUGAAACUUCGACGAGUCCAAUUGUUUAAUUGUCAUUGCAUCUAUUAUUGCGUAAUGCAAACAUUCUGGAAAAGUGAUAUAUGCACAAAUUACAAGCGUUAAGAUAUCGGUCCGUAAAAUGCGUUAGAUUGAGCUACAAUUUUCUUUUUAGAUUAGACAUAACAAUAUAACAUAAAAAAAGAUUAGAGGCAACAAUAUAGCAUAAGAUCAGAAAUCUAGAUUGCUAAAUAAUAGAUAUACAAUAUGUUACUUAGAAUUAUACGAAUUGUUGAUUCUACACUUAUCAUCUUUCUUACUGCAAAUAAGAGAGUAUAUACAGAUUAAUAGUUUGUAGAAAUCUCUUACAAAUCAAAGAUAGAAUUUAAAAAAAAAAACGUGACCGGACUAGUAGUUGUUGCAUCGAUCAACAAUUCUUAAGAAAAUCUAAUCAUCAUAAAUGACAGAAAGGAGUGAUCAAAUCGUCAUAACAUAUCAAAAUAAUAGAUGACUCAAAAAGUAAACCCUAUCGUGUAAGAAUUGUUGUCGUAAAUGUCAUAUAACCCAUGCAUGGGCUAUAAUGAAAAAUAAAAAGAGAAAUGACUAUAUACAAAAAAUGAGAUAAAAAAAAAAGUGAAAAGAUACUGUUUGUGGGUGUUAUGAAUCAAUCAUGCAUUGUUUAGCCUCGAUGCAUGGAAUACAAGUCGAGCUAAAAUAGAUGGAACAUGCACCAACAUUAUCACUGGACCACCAAACUCUAUCCCCCAAAAAUAAGGUUAUUUUCAUCCAACAUUAUUAAACUAAAGAAACACGGAAUCAACUCCACAAUUAGCUAUAAUAACCCAAACAAAUAUAUUUCUUGUACUCUAGAUAUAUCAUAUACACACAAAAACGGCUCGGUCCACAACAAUUUGGUUUCUGCUAUAUAUCCUAAGCCGGUGGGUGUGUGUGGUGCAAGACAAAGGAACAGUGACGUAUAACAGAUUGAAUAAGGAUGAAGGCAAUGUGUGGUACUAAUUACCUAACUGCUUACCCGUCAUCUGAUGUCGGCCCCAUUUCAUGUGUCAAUCUAUCUAUUUAUGUGUCUCUGUGUCUUUUGUUCAUUUCUAAUACCAACGACCUUCCUUCGGUCCUACUCCAACCAAAAUGUAAGUCCUACACAACAUGCUACGUCCAAUAUUUCUUUAAUACUAUACCGAAAAUAUCCCCAACUAGACCAUGCAUGUUUACAAGCACAAUCAUAUAUCCUUUACCAUCGUGUUUAAAAUAAUAGACUCCAUAAAUUGUGUUGCUCAUGUGUUGGAUGAAUCCAUGUAAUAGAAGUCUUUUUGACCUUAGGGAUUCUUAUACUUAGGCAUGAUAAGAUUUCAGUAACUUCUAUUGUUCUCUUUCCAAAAGUUGUGUGAUCAUCCAAAAUAGUUUAUUUACAUUAAUGUAAGAUCAAUAAAAAAAAUACUCCUUUACACGGUUUAUAAUUCUGAUAGAUUGAUUUGUGUGUAUGUAAGUUUAUUAUUCGGUAACACAUCAAUGUAGACUAAGGUUUUGGACAUAGUUAAUCAAUGAGAAACUAUCAGAAUUUAGAAUGAUCAUUCCUAAACAUUUGUCUGAAGUAUGCCCUAAGUUUGAAAUCUGAUAUAAAUUGAAGACUUAUCUGCAAGGAGUAGUAUUUUAAACAUCUUGUCCAAAUUCUUGAACUGGAACUACAUAGGGAGAGUUCCAAUCUGCAUCAAAGAUCUCCUGAAGCUUCAACGCAAUCUCUGUAUUGUAUGUUCCAAAGCUCACACCACUUGUCGCAUAAAAAUAGUCCCAAACGAGAUUACUGGUUCCUAUGUGAGCCCUAACGUCACUGACCACAUACUUCCCAUGAUUCACCCUCGUGUAACCUGGAAACAUGUUUCCGGUUUUAGUCUCGUUUCUGACAGCAGGUCCUGUCUUGUUAAAACCAGGAACCAUGUAGUAUCUGAUCUCCACUUGGCCAAAACAUUUCCUUUGCAAAGAGGAAGAUGAGCAAAGAACAUUGGAGUAAAGCAGCGACCUCAAGUAUCCAUCAGUGGCCUGAAUGAAAUGACCCCAAUAUGCUACUAGGAUCUUCACUUUGGCUUUCUUGGCGAAUACAACCUGCGAAGUCAACUUAUGUUUUUCAUAUUCUUGCAUUUUCAGGCGAGUAUAAGAUCAUUAAGAACAGGUUUAGUACCUCGGAAACCGCAGAAGAAAGUGAUGACCAGUAAACCGUGGGAUUAGUGUACUGAGACUGACCAAGCCAAUCCAUUGUAUUGAUCCUCACUGUUCCUCCUUCCACUACUGAUUUAAUUGUAUCUACCCAUCCUUGUUCAUCAGAUUGAUGCUUUCCAAACAAAAGCUACAUUUUCAAGAAAGCCAAAACCAUAUCAUAUAUAUAUAUACAAGAGCAAAGAGUGUUGAAGUGUUCUAAAAUUUUCUUGUUUUUCUUUAACCUCUGGUGGUGCAAAAGAAAGAUAACUCGGUUGCAUUUCUUGACAAGAAUGGUUUCUAGGGAGAGUUUCGAUGUCGAUAUUGAACAUCUCAGGAUCAGAUAGUGGAGGAUAGCCUGGUGAAACAUUGGGUGUGUCUAUGUAACUUGGAAGAGGUGACCUGAAAAAGAAAAAAAAACUAUUCUCUAGUAAGAUAAGAAAGAAAAAAAGAAUAUUGUUUUUAGGUUUAGUGUAACAUUACUUGCAACUUGCUUUGCUAGGUAUAAAACGUGACCAGCAAGGAACAGUUCUAUUGAUCAGCCAUUGUUGAUCUGAUACAUUUCUUGUGUGAACUGAAGAGUCAAGAGAGGCUAAUCUCCACAAGCUAUCGAAAUAAGUUUUGAUCUCUCGAGCAACUCGUGAACAUCCACUUAAGUAGAUGCCAACUUCUUUCACCUAGCAACAUCCAAAGAGUUGACAUUGUUCUACACGGUUCCAAUGUGCAUAUGUUUUAGACAUUACCUGAGUUAGCGACUUCCAAUCAUUGUUGGCAGAUCCAAUAUACACGUCGCGAUCAUCCGAAAUCCAAACUUUGGCAUGAACAAUCCCUGAGCCGUACCAUUUGCUUAGUAGCAAAGUCACGUUCUUCACGUUUGGUCUUCCAUAAGCAAGAUCAGAUGGUUCUUUGGUGUACUCUGGAUACACUCCUGAAUGAGAUAAUAGUCUAUGCACAAACAUUUAUGACUCAAAACAAUUGGCUCCAAGAAAUGAACUUAACUAUGCAGGUUUAGACAAAGAAACUGUGUGUUCUCGUAGUGAUUUACCUGAUGCUAACGUUACGGUUAGCAGCAUUGUCGAUGGAUUUGUAAACUAGAGAGCCAAGAUGAGCUCCAAACUGCUGCAAAUCUGAAUCGGAAUAGCCGAAAUCGCCAGAGCGAGGAUCCUUUGGAUUAGCAAGAAGCUGCCAGUACUGUGCUAUGAUGUCAAGUGAUCUUGUUGAGUUGUUUGCAAGCCACUGAAACACAUCACCUGCACACUACCAGACAUUAAAACAAAUAAAGAUCUGGUCUUUGUAAUAAUAACUAACAAAGUAUCCAACUUUUCCCGGGAAGUUAUCAAAAACAAAGUUUUUUUUUUGGAAAAAAACAAUCUUUCUCUGAAUACAAGCAACGAAAUGAUUAUGCAUCCUUCUAUAAGAAAACCCUUUACUUCAAAUCCAGACUUUUGAUAGAAUCUAACCACAAAUUUGCAGAUUUUUCUAGGGGAGAAAACACUAAAACAGAGUAAAUAGUAAUAUUGAAUAAUAACCUGUGGAAAGUACACCAGGGAUGAGAGGAAGCUCGGGCAUGUCAGUGGGGAUGGACUGAACUAGCCAAGCUUUGCAUCGGUCGGAAGAUUCUACAAAACGUGGUAGGGAGAGGCAAGCUAGAACCAAAACGAAUGAGUAUAGAAGCACUCUCCUCAUCUUUCUCUCUUUGAGUGGCCACGUAUGGAUUCAGCAGCACUUUUCUGUUCAUCAUCAAGAAGACUCAAGAGAACAUAUGAGAACGCAUUAUAGUUUGUGAGCACCGACCGAAUAUUCUUUUACGGAUAAAUUUUGAUCUUGAAAAGUCAAUGCUUCACACAUCGCAAAUUUGAAGUUAUUAACGUCAAGGAUAUCACCCUCAAUAACUAAAAAAAAAUAUCUAGAAUAAUUAAGAAAGUAACCAAAAAAGCUUUUGGACAUAAAUUUUGUAUAGUUUGUGUCUUAAUUGCAUAUUUUCUUUCUCUUUUGUCAUUUAAAUUAUUAAAUUGUAUUGAUAUUAAAUUAUUAUAAAUUAUAGAGAAAAUGACUGGGAUAGCACUAAAAAAGUUUUUGUCAUAAAUAUAGUCUCUAAGAAUAAAAAUGACCAAAAUAGCACUUAAUGUUUUAUCAAAAGAGAUAAAUAUAUACUUAUGGUAAAUUAAUUUAGACGGGUUUAGAGUUAAGGGGUGGGGUUUAGGAUUUAGGUUUAGGGUUUAGAGUUUAGGGGUGGGGUUUAGGGUUCAGAGUUUAGGUUUUAGGAUUUAGAGUUGGGGAGUGAGAUUUUGGGAUUUUGGGAUAAGAUUUCAAAUUUUGAAAAAUAAAUAAAAAUUUAAAUUUUUCAAAAGAUAAAAUGCUAUUUUAGAGUUAUUUUUGUGACAUAAACUUAGAAAUAUGCUAUUUUGGAGAUUUGCCCUAAAUUAUAUUGAUAUUAAAAUUAUUAUAAAUAUAUUCGGAUGGAAUUAAUUAUUUUAAAUCUCAUUAUGUUAUUGUUCGUGUAAACAAAAUUAACCAGAAAAUGACGUAGAAGUUUUAUUAUGGGUUAGAGCAGAACAUCUCAGGUAAAUGCUAAUAUAAUGCUUCUUUUAAUGUCUGUCUCCGACCGUUUUAAAAAAAAAUGUUUUUUUCUACUUUUUUUUUUCUUGGAAGAGAGACUUAGUAAGGGACUUGACCGUUAUAAAUAACCGUUAGGACAAGCAGAGUAGCACCAUUUACUUCCAAACGGCUAGUUUCUUCCUCUAUAUAUACACAUCCAAUCAUUCAUUCACAACAGACUCACUUAAGCCACAUCUGUCUCAUCUCUCUCUCUCUCUCUGUCUCAUACUCAACUUAACUCUAAUGGCUCGGACAACUGUACUUGAGACUUCCUGUCUAUACUUCUUCUGCUUACUGUUGUUGUUGGCUGAUCUCGCCUGUUGCAAAGAGAUUCUGGUCGGAGGCAAAUCCAGCGCCUGGAAAAUCCCUUCUUCACCUUCUGAAUCCCUCAACAAAUGGGCUGAGAGUUUGCGGUUUCACGUCGGCGAUUCUCUCGGUGAGUUUUUUCACUAUCCAAACAACACAUCUCCUUCGUUUUGUCUUUAAAGUUCAUAACCUUAUGUGAAUGUGUUAAACGCAGUGUGGAAGUACGAUGGAGAAAAGGACUCGGUUCUGCAAGUGACUAAAGAAGCUUACAUUAACUGCAACACCACGAAACCAGCAGCUAAUUACAGCAAUGGAGACACCAAGGUGAAGCUAGAUAGAUCUGGUUCUUUCUUCUUCAUCAGCGGCACCAAAAGCAACUGUGUGGAAGGUGAGAAGCUUCACGUUGUUGUCAUGUCUUCUCGUGGUGGCCACACUGGUGGUUUCUUCACCGGUUCUGCUCCUUCUCCAGCACCUUCUCAUGCUCUUUUGGGAGCGCCAGCUGUUCUGCCUGCAACCGGUUCAGCUUCUUCUUUGACCAGAAGAAUUGGAGUUUUUGGAUUUGUUGGAUUAGCAAUUGUUCUGCUCUACCAAUAAUAGACUGUUUAGAUUCCAUCUCUGGUUUAUAUUCUUUCGGUUAAAAUUCUUUUGGCUUUUUGACAAUGGUGUAUUUCCGAAUAUAUAUUAGACGAACUUCUAAGAGAUUAUGAGAUCAGUUGCUAACAAAAUGCAAUCUACAACAUACACCAACCCUGACUUAUAUAGGUCCAUAAUAAAUUUUAAAAGACACCAUCAAAGAUAAGAUGAGUUGAGAAAACAAACUUCUCUCAGAAAAAAAGAUGGUGAUGAGGACGACGAAUGCCGAAGACACAAUCCAAAAAGAUCAGCAGCUGCAAAAGAUGAACAGAAAGAUUUAAAAGGACCAAGAGUUUUGCAAACAAGUGACAUAUGCAAUGACUUAAUAGAACAUAAAUGAUACUGAUUCAUUUCAACCCUCAAGGGGCCAACAAAAAACACUUGCCCGGUGGUUUGAAUACCAAAGUUAUAUCAUCACGAGAAGUAAGAACAACUCAUAAAGAGGCUACAUUAUUCGGAAAAAUAACAGUGUUGUUAUUAUGGGAUAUAAUAGCUUGAGAUUCUAUCUAUAAGAAACUAUAUGUUUAUUUCCCUGUAUCUACUUUAAACUCACUAUCAGUUUCCCAAUAUAUCACAAACUCAUUAAAUUAGCACAAUUAUGUCAAUUCUAGAGAUUGCAUUCAGGUGGUCAGAGAUAAUAAGAAGAGGGCAAUUUAUAACUUGGACAAGAGAACGCUACCAUGAUAUAUAUUUGGAAAAUCAGGCUGUACCCAUUUCAACAUCAUCUGAAGUACCCUCAGCUGCCGCCAUUAGAGGGCCCUUCAAACCAUUUUCAUUGUUACCAUUAAGCUCACGAGCUGCCUUUUCAAGAAAUUCCUUUGCAGCAGAUCGAACAGACUGUUUCUCAUUUGAUUGGUAUUUCCUCUUUUUUGCAGAUGUUUCUGAAUACCUCAUCCUUGAUUUCUCUCCUUUGCUGAGGUCCCUAAUGUUUUGCCUUUGAGCUGCAUUCAUUUAGCAACGGUUGUUAGAGAAACAAGGAAGGUAGGAAAGCGAAAACUGUAUAACUGUAUAAAAGCUUACCAGAUGAAAGAUCAGGCAGAGAAUGUUCGAUGAAACGGGUAGCUGCCUGACGGUUUAAGACUGUAGUCGGACGCAAUGGUUCUACGAUAAAAUGGAGAGAAACGAAUAAGACAUCAUAUAGCGGAUAAGGCAUUGAAUUAAAGGUAGCAAUUCAGUCUCUAAACAAAAUCCAACUGAAUAAAAAAAAUUCCUAAACAAGAUAAAACCGUCACAAGUUCGAUUUCCGUUGGGAGGGAUUUAUAUUACAGUCUCUAAACAAAAUCCAACUGAAUAAAAAAAAUUCCUAAACAAGAUAAAACCGUCACAAGUUCGAUUUCCGUUGGGAGGGAUUGAUAUUACAUGGUUUGGGCCUCGCUUCGUACCGAGCGAAGCGAGGCCCAAACCAUGUAAAACUGUUGUAGACAAAAAAAACAAAUGGAUCUUCAACAAAAAGGGAAAAUGGCUUGCUAACAAGAAUUCAAUGAAACAGAUCUUAUAAGUUUUAUAAAAGUAAGUUGAGCAUCAAUCAAUUUGGGAAAUAUAGCAAAGAAAGAAGUUUAUUUGAUUUCAACAGACUAAGGUGUCCCAAAUGGAAUGUAACAGUUUUUUUUUAUAGAAGCAAAUUGGAAAUUAAAGAUGAUAUAGGUAGAUGAAAUAAGUCAAGGUGACGAAAAGCUAAAGCGCAGAACAAUGGAUUAGGCGGGAGAGAAUAUGAUAAGCCUUCCAAUGGAAACACCACUUCAGUAUACAAAGUUGACAUACUACUCCCCUGCAUUUAAGAUGGGUGUAUGCAAUAAAAAAAAUCUAUCAACGAAAAAAAAACAUUAUAUCUACGAGAAGUUAUGGCUAACACUCUUAUAGCACAAUGAAACUAACAAACAUAGAUAAUCCAAUACAAGGUCAGAAAUGCAGGUCUCUAGAAAAAUUAGAAAAAUAGGACUCCCUUUACAGCAGUGUUCUAAAAACCGGUGUAGGCAGCGCUUUGGUAAAUUGGAUCUAAAUGAAACGAUUUUUUCCAGAAUGAUUUUUAAGAAAAUCGUGUAAUUGUCCAGAAAAUCGGUUUAGACACCCACCUAAACAAUAAUUCUCUAUAAGACGCCUAACCAUCGCCUAGCAAUAGCGCCUACCUUUCUCUAUAAAAUAAAAAUGGCUAAGAAAUUUAUAAACUAAGAGCAUAUCUAAGGCAGAGAUAACACUUGUUUUUUGUCCACGAGACAACACAAUCACCAAUUCAAACUGAAACAAGAGUUUUAACGAACCCAAAAACACAAUCUUUCAAUCCAAACAGUCAUAAGUAAACAAGUUUUGAUCUUUCUAGCGAAAUUAGUAAGGAACAGGGUGUUUACCUUUGCUUCGAUCCAUACAACGCUGAAACUUCUCUUUGUAGACGUCAAGCCUCUCCUGCGAAAAAACAGCCAAAGAGAAGUCAUUUUCAUCAACAAACAAAAACGAAUAGCCAAAAGACAUUACAAUUUCAGAUUUGACACGGUGAUCGUCGGGAUUAACGCCUGUACAUCUCAACCUCACUGUAAAACAAAAAAAACAAAAAAGCCACAACAACACAUUUACAUAUCCCACAAAGGAACAAACUUUUCAAUCUCAUAGCAAGAACGAAGAAAGAGGGAGAGAAGGAGGGUUACGAUUGAAGAUUGUUGUGGUGGCUUCGGCGAGCAUGUACAUGACCUUAGCUCGCUUCAACGGCUGCAUCUGAGCAAGAACCUCUGGCUGAGCUAGAGAGAGCAUCUCCUCGAGCUGCGGUUUGAGCUCCUCGAGGUGGGCCAGUGCUUGUUUCACAGCCUCCAUCGCUGAUUUCGGAACUACUCCUGCUGCUGCUGGGGCGGCGCUGCUACUUCCUUCACCUCCUCCUUCCAUCCUUAUUCAAUUAGACAGAGUUGGGAACAACACGGCGGCGGAGAGCUAGGUUUGCGGCGGCGGUAGACUAUUUGUUGAAUUCUUUUUAUUUUGUUUUUAUAAAUAGAGAGGCGUUUCUGAAACGCAAUCGGGAAGAAUGACGUCAGCGAUAUUAAAAUGCUGUCAUAGUCAGUCAGAUAUGGGCCGUUAAAGGGCCGUCGUCACCCAUCUCGAUUGCCCCGACUGAUAGUUAAGCCUUGAAGAAUGACCUUUAUAUUGACAGCUUCAAAAUGGGUUAGAGAGGAUGACGAAACUGACGAUGUACACAAGAAGAGCUACUCUCCAAGGGAGCGAGAAUACUGGUGGGAUAACUUUUAAGGUUGAUGACGAGGAUCUCAAGGCUAAUGAUUGUGUACGUACCCAACUUGACAAUGGACUGGACGAGGAACAAAGGUUUGAUCAAAUUCAUUUAUCUACUUUUGAAAAUAAUUUAGGAAUUCAGCUUAAACAGGCAAAUCAAUACUAUUAAAAGAUAACGGAGUCAUAAAAAAUAUACCUAUUAUAGUUGUUUGUACCCUUUCAUUUUUUAGUACAACCUAUAAUAUAAAACCAAAUAUCAUAACAUGUUUUUAUUAUAGCAACAACUUAAAACUUAUUACAUUUUAAUAAAUAACCACGAUUUAAAACAAUUUUUAUAACGACAAUCGUUAUCCUUUUACAUUUUAGCAACCCACAUUAUUUCAAUCACACGAAUGUACAAGAUAUUUUAACUUUUAAAACAUUUAAUUAAAUUCUUAACUUUUGAAAAUUUGAUUUAAAAUAUAUAAGAUGUUUUAUAUGUUAGUUUAGUUAUACCAAAAUCCUUUAAUAUUUCUACAUUAUUUCAAAGGAGAAAAUGUUUCGAAACAUAGGAUUCAUGUUUGGAUAUGCAGUUCUAAGUUCUUUGGAUCCUAAACGUUUGACAUAACUAAAUAUUUUAAAAUAUAUAGUUUAAGUUAGGGUCGGUUACUUUUUCCAUAACUCAGACCCGAACUGCACCCAUUUUUUUUGGUUGGUUUCGGAUUUAGUUUUUCAGGUCCGACAAACCGUAGAAUCGUAUGAAAAAAUUAUAUAAAAAUAUACAUAUAAAAUCUGAAAUAAUAGUGUAUAACAAUCUCAAAACAUUAAUUCAUAUAAAACUUUUUUAUAAUUAAAAAAUCCGCGCUUCAAAAUCUAGUAUGGAUUAAAAGACACCGAUUUACAUUAUUGCUUCAUGUUUGUACCUUAUCGGUUAGCUGCUUUGUAUCAUUCGAAACUAAAUAGGCUGCUCGCUUACUCUGUUUGUUUUUUCUUGGGCUACAGACAAAAGCUUAGACGCAUAGAAGUUGCUUUUAUAGAGUAUCGUGGAGGAGAGGCCUGACGAAUCUCGAGAAUCAUCUAAAAAGCGACACCGUGGGGAAACCCACAGCCAAAGUCCACCACGGAAAUCAUCAACCGCGGAGACGAGACUUGAGAUGAUAGUGAUGAUUGUUCCUUCACCUCAUGGUUUGUUCCUAUAGAAAAAGAUUUCAACCUGUUUAGUGUUUCAAAACUCAUAAGAUAUGUUAGAAUCACAUUCUCAGACACAGCUUGUAAUUGUGUAUUCCAGUCCCAGUUCUGCAAGAUUCUUCUUGAUGCUUUUCCCCAAGGAACUAUUUAUAUUACAAGACAUACACUGUCCUUCUAUACCCAACAAAUGUGACAAACUUGUAAAAUUUGCACUUUAUAUCAAUGCAGGUAAACAGUUCAGAGACAAUGAAGCAUGUGCUUCAAAGAUUUGUCUAUAACAAGAGAACACUGUGAGCUAUCUUCUAUCAGCGGAAUGAACAAGAGACGCCAACUCCAAGUUCCGAGCUUCUUCUUUCUCUUCAUCAGAAUCAGAAUCUUCCCCCAUGAUCUCACCCGGGAGCUUGAACGUGUUCUGAUCUCCCUUGGGCACAAGAAACAGAACAAAGAGCGGCAAAACUCUCAUCACAUUCCUGAUCAAAACCGCAAGCCAGAGGUUGCCAAACUCUGUCCUAGUCACCUUGAGGACGUGCAGCAACACUCCUCCGAGCCAAGAAGAGGUCAUGAAGCCUGCAUUGUCAAUAGACAUCAGCAACGCAAAGAAUGUCCCUUCAAUUCCGUGAGGACAAAGCUUUGAAGUGAGCACGAGCAACGGCAUCCAUUUUAGGCGUCCUAUCAUCUGAGACACUAUCUCGUCGACCACUAUGAAGAGAUAGUCUGGUAAGCCAAGUUUCAAGUUGAGACGUAGCACGAGAAUGAGGUCAAGCAUCCCUGCCAAGGCAAAGAGAAGUUGAGUCCACAAACAAAUGCCGCGGAAGGGAUGGUCUUUCAGGACUAGCUGGUACAAGGUUGCUCCUAGAAUCGACCCCACCGAACCAAUUGAGAGGAUGAAACCAACAGUUUCCUGAAACAAAACAAGAAAAGAUCUCAACAUGGUAAGCAACUUCAAGUAUGUUUUGAGAGUGGUUGAGUACCUGAGCAAACAAAGGGCCAUCCUUUGAAUCUGUGAACCAAUAGAAGAGACCUUCAUGAAUGUUCAAACUAAGAGCAAGGGAAAUGAACAUAUACAGACUCGGCCUCCACACAUCUGAGCACUUCAUCGUCCUCCACAUCGCUCUCCCUGCGUCUAUAAACUUCUGGUUUACCUGGAUUGAUACAAAACGAGAGUCAGUAGUGGAAACUCAAGCAUAGUGAAAGAGACAAUGACAUUACCUGUUUGUAAGAGAAGCCAGGAACAUGGGACUCACUAAACACCAUCCCUACUACUGAUGCCAACGCAAAUGGGAGUGUCAGCAAGCCAAACACACCCUAAUGUCCAAAAAACCGAAACACGUCAUUUAAAAGAAGUUACAGAUGACAGAGAUCACUGCGAGAGAUUGGCUAACCUUGGAGCCAACAAGAUGAACUAAGAUGCCACUCAUGAAGAAACCAAGAAGCGCACCAAUGGAAGAGCUUAAGCUACACAAGCUCUGCAUAUCCGAGGCAAGAGAAGGGUGUUUAAUACUGUUGUAGGCAGUGCAAGCAUCAAUAGUCACAUCAGCUAUCGCCAUCGCAGCACUUGCUAUUGUCAUCCACAAGAGCGCCAAGUAAAGAUGCAGAUUCCCAAGAACCGAUAUGAAAAGCAUAGAAACCACUCCAAGGACACCUGCCAAAACGAAGUAAGGGCGUCUGUGGAAGCCGUAGAUGGGAAGAACAUCGGUGAGAAUGCCCCAGAGAGGCUUAAUGAUCCACGGAAUCUUGGUGAUGGCCGUGAGAGCCUGAGACUCUGAAGGCUGAACCUUUUGAACAUCUUUCAUGUAAUACUCGGUGGCUACACGGCCUAAUGAGCCGCCAAGGCCUUGAUUUAUACCGUAGAGUGAGACCACGCCGAAGACAAAGCUCCAGUGAAGCUCUUUGGCCAGCAUCUUUAUCCACCGCACUGGACCCCACAGUACAGUACGGAGAUGACUCUCUCCUUUGAUGACUACACGGACGGAUCCGCCACUUUCGAGAUUCUGGUCUUCUACCACCAUAGCUGGUUAGGUUCAAGAUUUGGCUUAAAUGUUGAAACUUUUGAUGUGGGUUUGGUCUGAAACUGUGGGUUAAACAGAUCCAGGACCAGAGUUGGCUUGAAGUGGAUGUUUUUUCUUGGGUUGGAUUUGAAGCUUAGAUCAUAGAACUGGUGAAUCUUUUGAUGGAAGGCAAGUCAAAGAACAGGGAUUUGGGAAUUCAAAAUCUUAGCUUGGAUUAAAAAAGCUCAUGAAAACAAGAAUGAGAUUGGCAAAGAAGAACAUUCGUUGACUUGAUUCUGUAUGAACAACAAAAGCUCAUUGAAGAAGAAGAUGGAGGAGAAGAAAAAAAGUUAUUAAAGAAAUGUCAGAGGAGAGAGCGACGAACGGGAAAAUGUCAAGUUUUGCUGCUAAAUGUUUUGACAAAACACAUCUUUCGUUUGUCUCUUACCAAGAAGAACAUUCUGUCUAAAUUUUUCUACUUUCUGUUUUCAUUGCCUUCACCUUAAAAGUAGAAACUUUAAAAAAAAUAGAAACUAUUUUUGAUUUUAAAUGUUUGUUUCUUUUAUCAGAUACCACUCAGAAAAAUAAGGUUUAUUUGCAAAUUAAAGCGAAUUUUAGACACACAAAAAAAAAAAUUAUAAGGUAAAUUCAUGAAAAAGAAGAAUUAUGUUUUGUAAUGUUUUGCAUCAAAGUCACCGUAACAAACCUAAUCGUUUGAUAUUUCACUAAUGCUUUUGACUUUUCUAUCUUUCUUCACAUUUGUGUUGUAGAUAUGAAAAUGUUUGAGUUUUAUCAGAGCAUCUCCAACCCAAAACUUCAUUAUAAAAGGAAAACAAAACUUCAAAACGAAGAUUUGAGGACCGGUUAUUUUAACCAUGAAUCCUCGAAAAAGUCUUUGAAAUUUUAUUUAUUUGCAUAAUAAACUUUGACAUUAACAAAAGUUACUAACAAUGAUAAAAACUCCACAAAUACAUAUAGAACAUACAUUUAGUUAUACAACACACAAUAUUAUAUUAUUUUGCGUAAACUUUAUUUUAUGUAUUUUUAUAUUGUGUGAACUUUAUUUAAUGUUAUGUAAUAUUUAUUUUAUUUUAUUUUAUUUUUGUAUACUUGAAUUAUUCUAAAUUAAAUUUGGUAUAUGUAUUUAUGAAAAGAAAUAACAAAAAGACCAAAAAUAAAAUAAAAGAUAGUUUUGAAGCUGUGAAUAGUUUACAACCUCAAAAUUUGAAAUUUUAGGUUGGGUUGGAGAUGUGUUUUAGUCUAGUUGUUUAAAAUCAAAGGUUUUGUGAAAUUAUUUUUUGUUUGUGGUUUAACUAAAUAUUAAUUAAUGUUUAUACAUCAAAAUAGUGACAUUUCAGUUUCAGAGAAUUAGAAAAAGAUAUUUAGAAAAUAUAUUUAUCAUGUUGCAUAGAAUAUCGUUAAAUAGUCAGUAAAUUAUCAUAAAUUAUGUAAAAUUAUCGACGGUUAUAAAUAAAAUAUAUCAACUGUAUAGUUGUGUAUAUAACAUUUUAUAUUUUAUAAUAUUAUCAUUAACCAGCAUUAAAGAAAAAAUCUGUUAUUGAAAUCUUACAUAAAGUAUGAAGUCUCCUACUUCAGCAUUUUCCAUAUUGUUCCUUUUCUUCGCAAGAAGAUUGGGUGGGACAAGUAAAAGCAUCUCCAAAAGAAAUUCUAUAACUCCAAAUAUAUAGUUUUUUGAUCUCCAAAAAGAAACUUCAAAAUUUCAAAUUUGAAGUUUUGAAGUUUUGAAGAGUUAAACUCCAAAUAUAGAGUUUCACUUUUCAAAACUUCAAAUUUGAAGUUUCAUCUCUUUAUUUGCAUUUUGGUCCUUACAAUUAUACAUCAUAUUUAUAAUUCUUAAAUAUUUUUUUGUUUAUUGUUUUAAUCCUUAAAACUUUUAUAUCUUAUAAAUAUUUCAAAUUUGUUUUAUAAAUUUAAGUGUUACACAUGAAAUUAAAUAAAAAAUUUAAAACAAGAUUUAUAAUAUUUUAAAACUAGAAUUAAACAACAAGAAUAUUACAAAAAACCAUAAUAAAAACUUAUUAAAAAGACAUAUGAAGACAUAAUUAUUACUCAAAUUUAAAUAUUAUAACAACACUAAUAGUCUGGUAAAUUUGCUCCAGAACCUCCCAAAUCUCCAAAAUAUUGUCCAAACAAAUUUUGUGUAACCGAAAAUGAUUGUUGUUGUUGCUCUUGACGCCUUUUCCGUACGAUUCUUUCUUGUUCAGAUUGAAUGUAUUCACGAAUAUUAACAUCAUCGAUGGAAGCUAAUUUUUUAGCAAUAUUUUAUUUUCCUCUUUUACUUCUUUAAAAGCUAAUUUUGUUGUUUCAUUUUGCAGUCGUAAUUCAAUCAUCUCAUGACAUUUUUCCCUACUUGUUGUACUUUCGUUUAAAAGAUCAAGGAUUUUUUCGUUUGAUGAUAUCAAACUAUCAGCGGCCAUAUUAUGAGGAUAUCCGAUUUCAACAAUUUUUGGCUCGUAGUCUACAAAUGAAGAAUAAGGAGAAUCAUUUCUUACUUCGAAAUGCACUAGUUGAUCAUAUAUGGGAGCAUUACAGAAAUAAUUUUAUGGAAUAGUGUAGUAUUUGCUUGCAGUUUAAUAUUUAAUUAUGUACUUUUAUUUAUAGUUUUAUAUUUUAGUGUAAGAUUUUUUUAAUUAAUAUUUUUGUAAUAUUUAUAUAUAUGUACUAGUUAUUUAUAGAAGUUUUAUGAAUUUACAUCAAAUAUGACAAAUAUAAGGAUCAUAAUGUGAAAUAUAAAUAAUUUUGAAGUUAUGUUUGAAGUUUUACUUUUAGAGAAAAACACAUUGACACUUCAAAUAUAGAGUUUUGAAAACUUCGAAAUAUAGUUUUUUUUUGGAGAUGUUUUAAACCCGUCAUAAGCACACAAAAUUGUCGCUGCUAUUUCAAGAUCAGUCGGCCACCGAAGGAACAGAACAAGGUUUCUUUAACCUAGUAUCCCCUCUUUCGAUACGUGUUCCGAUACCGUUGGAUCCAAAUAGAUCUUGUCACCACUACUACUUCUCUACUGAUCUGAAAUUACUAAAAACCCUAUUUCCAUCAUUUUUAUAAGCAAAAAUAUAUGUCCCAGCAUCUUUGGGACGUUCUGUGACCUUUAUUGAUUAAUAUAAUUAUUUAUAUAAAGAGUAGAAAUAGACAAGAGUUUGCCACCACCAACUGCCAACUGCUACUCAUUAGUUUUUUUUCUUUCUUAAAUGCGAAUGUUUUAUCAUUUCGAAGGUGUUGAUGCUGCCAUUUGAAAACCUAUUUUAAUCGAAAUUGAAACUUUUGAUAUAUAUAAUUUAUAUUAAUACACUUAGUAGUUUUAUUUUCUUAUAAAAUCCUAAAACUCGCGAAUAUCUUGUAAUUUUUUGUGUGUUUUAGACAAAAGUAUGUGUUUGUUUAUUUGAGUGCUACUUGCUAAGUUGUUAUCAGACCGGGCUUCUUCCUUUGUUAAUUUAUAGUUUACCCAUGUAGUUUUUCGUUAGAUGAUCAUGAACAUAUGCUAUAUAGAGAUCCAAAUUAGUUGGUAAUGCUGUUAUGGACAAGUUAAAUGAUAUACAAAAGUCAUUCAUGCCUACAAGUUUAGUAGGAAUUUUCAAUGUCGGUUUGAGAGUUCAUGUAGAAAGAUUAUCACACUGCGAACAAUGGGCUUCAGAAAGUAGAACAAGCCCAACAAAGCAUCGAGAAGUCUCCACAUCAUGCUUAGGCUAGAAAACGGAUCAAAUCGACAAAUCCUCCUCACAUAAUCUGCUCUGUCGCGGGCUGGCAGGUUUCUUUAAUUAAAAAAACUAGAUCCUUUGUCCGCGCUAGACGCUGAUUAUGUCUUUUAAUUUAUUCUUUAUAUAUUUAAAUUGCUUAGCAAAGUUUGAAAACAGAAGUUGAGUUUAGAUUUUAUAGAGAAGUAGAGAUUUAAAAAAAACAAUGAGAAAAUUGUUUAAAAUGUAAAUAAAUCUAGGUAUCAAGUUGUGUGGGAAAUAGAAUAAUAAUCCGAAUGAUGCAUGAAUUAAAGUCACUCUUUGUUGCAUGCUUUUGCAUGAUCUCUUAUUUGCUCUUUGAAAUGCUUUAUGUAAUCAAUUGAUUUGUUGAAGUAAAAAUUUAUUGUUGGUGAUGAACUGAGUAGUAGUUUGUCUGGAAAAUAUUGGAUAUUAUUGUUCUGUUGAUAAAAAAAAAUUUAGAUCAGUAUUAUUUUUUGAUGUGUUUAAAAAAAAUUAUUUGCCUUGGAAAAGUAACUUUUAAAAACGUUGCGAUUUAGUUAAUAUCAUGUUUCUUUUUUUACUGAAUGCAAUCGUAAGAAGGAAAGCUUUAAAUAUUCUGCCUUGAAUCCUUAAGAUCACAUAGAUUGGUUUAUUCUAGAUUGAUUGUUUUUUUAAGUAAGGAUGUAUGAUGUACAUGUUUGCUCAAACCAAAACCGUAAGUGCUUUAUAAGUCUUUUUUUUUUUUUUUUUUUUUUUUGUAACUUUGCUUUAUAAGUCUUUACUAGUACAUUAUGUGACUUCUUUGGUUUCGAGAACUCAAAGUUCACAAGUCCACCUAAUUCGUAAAAGCAUCAAUUCUAAAAAAACUAAAAUGUUCAGACAUCAAACUUAUGGAAAAAACACUAAGGAGAGACAAAAUAGAUUAUAAGAAAGAUAGUUAAUGUUGCAAAACAAAGUCUGAGAUCAAAAAAAAAAAUCAAAGCUUAGAGUUUUAGUAACCAUAAAACUAAGAUUUAACACAUCCUAGCCACAUCUGGCUCGCUUGGGAUCUUCUGCCUCAGCAUCAUCAGCAGCCCUUUUCACCAUGCCAACGCAUGUGGAAGGCUCAUCAUCAGCAACUCCCUUCUGCAAAGUUUCUUGGGCUUCUGGUACAAUCAUAUUCUCUUCUAAAUUGCCUUCAACUUCUUGGAUUUCUGGGGUGAGGACCUUUGUCACAGUCAGAGUUUGGGUCUUGCCAGUCAAAUUGUGAUCUGAUACCUUCACAAUGAAUUUGCGAGUCUGUCCAAUGGUAUCAAUAAGAGCCUGAGGCAUCGGAACGAAGUGGUCAUCUUCUACUUUCUCGUUUCCCUAACAUACAUUAAACAAUUGUCACUAUAUAUAUCUAACGAUCUUGGAAAAUACAGUUUCAAAACCAGGGGAACACAAGUUUGUAAUUACCUCAAAAUAUCUUGCAACCAACUCUGAAGCUUUCCUUCCAACCAAUUCAUGUCCAGCAUCACCGAGGAGCACAAAAGACGCCUGAUCAUCAUUAUCAUACACGGAGAUCUUGGCCAGGUACUUGUGUCAUGAGCAGACUUAUAAUGAGUGCAUUGAAGUAUGAGUAUAAGUCCACCUGAGUCACUAAGAGCAGCUGAGUCACUUACUGUGCAACACCAACAAUAUUGGUUUUCCCACACUUCUUACACAUAAGAGUGGUAGGCCCUUUGGUUGCCUUAGUGUGGCACACACCACAGCCUAUGUAAUACCAGGGUGAACCGUGCACAACAUCACCAAUGGUUGCUAUGCACUCAAACCAAGCAACCUGCAAAUGUUAAACAAUUAAAUAAGAAACUAAGACUAUCAUAUUGAAUACGUUAGUGAUUGAUACUGUACAACCUUGGCAUCUUCCUGCUUCAUAUAGGAAAAUAGCUCGCCAAUGGAAACUGUCUCAGCCUUAGUGACAACGUCUGCAUUCACUCUGUUGGCAAUAGCUAAGUUCGCUUCCAUCCUCCAGCCAACACCCAAAAUCAAAUACAAUGUGGAAUAACAACGGACAUAAUUUAAGUAAAGAACGCUUACCAAGCAAGAUACUCUUUGGUUUCUUGAACAUCAGUGUCCAAAAAUACACGUGAUGGCGUCAUAGAGGAGAGAGCUAGAGCACCUAUAACAGAUUUAUUGUUAUAAUACAGAUGCAAAGUUGUAAUGUAAAAUGAGAUGUAGAAUUAUGUAUAUCUCUGUAUUCGUUAUAUCCGAACCUAUCAGUUACUCCAAUUUCUAAUAAAUGCAGUUCUAUUACUCAAUCUAACCUAACCAGAUAAGAUUCCUUGCCAAUCUAUGUACUUAAACGAUAAAGAAAAAAGUUGGUAAUACGGACCUCCAAAUCGUUUUGGGUUUAAAGCAGUAACCAAAACAACACGUGCGGUUCCUCCAGAUGCUUUAAAUUUCUCACUAAAGUCUGAGGCAGCCUUGUCCCAUCGGUACAACUUCAUUACUGGACCACUACAACAUACAAACACAUGUGUUAAGAGAGACAACACAUGAAUAUGGAAAAUACAUAUAGCUUACUCAUGUGUCUGAACAUGAAGCAGGACGCGGCGUGAUGCAGCUAUCUCGGCAUCAUCUAGCACGAGACUAUCACUGAGAACCUACCCAUUCACAAGCUUGAUGUGGCCAACAUAAUCUGCAACAUAAAACAAACAAACUCGAUGAUUUAUAUAUCGUAAACUAAACAAUGAAGCAUAAAAUUGUAAGUAUAUAUCAAAACAUUAUCCUAGACAAAGAAUGCUGAUUAUAUUUGAUCGUUUGAAAACACAUUACACAACAGUGAGAACUUACCAUAAAGAUCCCCUCGCAAGUCGCAGGCAGCAUCGAACUCCUCAUAUCCAUGGAUCCGGAAACGGUCCUCGGGGAAACAAAGCGGACUGUCUUCUAGAUCAGAGAGGACAUAAGUAGUUUAGAAGGUGAUGGUGAAACUCGGCUCCGCAACACGAUACAAAAUCUUGUUGUUAGACCCGAAAAAAUUGUUGAGCCUAUAAAUGCCACCAGCUUUCAUGUGUGGCAAAUAAGUAUCUACCCUCCCAGCUGGGAUGAAACCCUGGAUGACAGUCUCCUGUUACGAACAGUAAAGAAAUUAAUUUAGAAAUGCUAGUCAGGAAACUUGGAGACGCAUCAACAACAAUCAAUAUAACGAUAAGUUUGAGCUAAAAUUAUUAAUCAACAUCAUGGCGAACAAUUAUUAAACUAAAUUGCAACCAAGAUUUCGGUUUAUACCUCGUGGUCGAUGAGAAGCAUCUCGACACUAAUAAGAACCUUCGUCACAACAUUUCGAGCUUCCCAAAAAUGGAUCAACUGAAACCUCAACUCGCCAUCAUGAGGUCUGUAUUUCACAUCUUUGAAAGUCAUCACUUCACCAACUUUGGCGGUGACAAUGGCUUUUCCCGUGAAGCUAGAGGAGACAACGGCUUUGCCCCUAACGCCUGAAGAAACAACAGACUUCGCGCUAUGAAUGAUCAUACCUACAGAGAAAUAUGAACGUUGCCAUCAUCAAAAAGGAUACCAAACCCUGUACCACAAUUUCAUAUGUUUUUUUAUUUUUCGUAUAUAAGUUAUAUAUUGAAAAAAAAAAUUUGUUCAUCUCAUUCCCUUAAAUCUCAAAUCUUCAGACACUUUUUUUUAUGAUAAUCAAAUGGACUCUAUAAUCUCAUAAGGAAACGAUAAGGGUUCAUACCAUUGGGGUUCUUCGAUUUAGGUAAGCCGUUUAAGACGCCGGAAGAGCCAGCGGUCUUGCCGCUGAGUUUGGUCAGACAAGAGGUGACCGACGCUUCGCCUUCAGAUUGCUUCGAGUGGGGAUCGCCGAUUGAGUGGCUGGAAGAAACAUAAGGUGUUCCAACGGGGUUGAUCGGUCCGAGAACGGAUUCAGCUUCAACGCAGUUUGUUUUCUCAUAGAUGGAUUUUCCGUUGGAACUCAUUGCAACGAAGCUUAAUCGAAAUAAGACUCUGAUUAAGAGUUGUAUAAAGAAAAACUGAAGGGGAAAAGGCGAAUUAAGAGCUUUAUAAACAAAAUCCGAAGGAGAAAAGCAAAACGAAUCCAUAAAUGAGAGUAAAGGAAGAACGAAGUGGAAGAUGUAUUGAUUGUUUAGGGGUCAGAUCGUGAAACGGUUCAAAGAGGAGGAAGAGCAAAGGGGAUGAAGAAUAGAUCUGAAAAGGAAGAGUUAGGGUUCACAGAACGCAAAAGAGAGGAGAGCUUGUUCGUCGUACAGCAAUGGUCGGAUGGGCUUGGGCCCAAACGUAUCAACACGUUUUUUUUUAAAACACAGUAAGCCCACAAAGGUAACACGAAAGUGACAUGACAAAAAUGAUAAAUAUGAUUGGUGGAUUAAAUUGGCAUACGUGGACAGCCUGAUUGAGGAGGAUAUCCUGCUUUUAUUACUUGUGAUGUCAUAGUAAAAGCCUCUUUAGUUCAAUAGUUUAAUUAACAUUUAUCAAUAUUUUUUUUUGACUAAAUUCUUCAAAUUAAAGCAAACGUUAUAAGAGAAUUUUAACAUGAUAAAAAAAAUGUUAUAAGAGAAUUUUAACAAGAAGUACCGUCAAGUGUGGUCUUCAGUAAUUGAUUAAGUCAAAAUACAAUUAUAUCCUGUGAAGUUGUUCUUGUAAUAUUUAUCAAUGUUGUUUAUAAUAAUAUAAUUAACUACUAUAAAAAAACUUAAUCAUAUAAUUAGGGACAGACUCACUUUAUGACUAGUGGAGUCACCUGACACAACAAAAAAAUAAUAAAAUGUUGGUUUUGUAUAAGAAACUAAGAGCAUCAGCAUCUCGGAAACCCAGUUCUGUUUCUUAAAUUUUUUUUAUUUUUAUUGUUUUAUCUGUUUAAAAAAAAAACCAAUCGCGGGCCGCCAUGUGUCGUAGGGCCCGCAAAACAGUGUAAAAACCUCACGUGUCGACAGGAAGCCACGUUUCUUCCCAUUUUGUAGGACCCAUCUCACAUUUCCCCCCUAAAAACCCUCCUAAAUACUUUCGAUAAAGAUGCUCUAACAAAAAUUUAGUAGUAUCUUAUAUAUAUAAAGUAGACUUGUGCUCUUCCCAUAGCCUUCCACGUCACCAAAGAGGAUGGGGCAUUUUUGAACAAGUCAGCGCUCAACCAAAAGCUCUUUUUUAACGUUUGUUUCUUCCUCAUCUUUGGGCUUUGUUUAAUAGCGGGCCAUGAAGACCUAAACUUUCAUCCUUUCUCAUCUCCGCUUCAUCUUCCUGGCACUGUUACGGAAAGCUAACCCUACUUCAUACCACCUCCAAAUCACCGGAACUUUAACGCCUCGUAUUGCCGUUCAGUUCAUGUAAUUAUGACUGUUAUUAACAACAUAGCACGUCUCAUUCAGUUUAAUCCUUCUUCCUCGAUGGUUCCUCAAUCUCUCCACCACAACAGCCUCACCUUUUCCUUCAUUCUCUCCCUCUCGCCAUAUUCUUCCGUCAACCAUCUGACGUAACACCAAAGCAGGACCUGUAACACCAGCAAGUAAGAAUUAUUUGAAUCAUAAAGUAGAAUCCUCUCUUCUUUGAUUAUGGUGGUUUGAUCAAGAACAAUCUGACACUUUGUUACUAGCCAAAGACUCUUGAUUUUACGGCCGCUUCAUCUUCUAUACAGCUGCGGCCAGGUCGUUCUGCUAAAUAAAAAAUUGGGGAAAGAUGGUCGUGUUUGUACCAAAACUGUGAAGAAAUCUUCAUGCAAGGUUAUUGUUUUUUGUAAUCUUAUGUUUUUUUUUGUGUUUGUUCUUUGAAGAUGUAAUGUUUCUUUACAACUUGAUUUUGACAUGUUUGUGAUCAUGCUGAUGCAAUUAUCUCACUGUAGAACGAUGGGAACCGUACCAAAGAUGGGAUCCAGAUUGUGCUGAUGGGAACGAUAGUGGGAACGAAAAUCAGUGUGAAUGAACUUUCUCAAGGUAUUGAGUCAGAGAGAGCCUUAUUGCUUAGAAAAGGCGAGAAUCAUUUUGGGCCGUAACAGUAGCUAUUUCAAAACACUAAACACUGAUGGGAUUAGUUGGAAAAAUUAGUUUCAGAUUAGCAUUGUUGAUUAUGCAUACAUCACGCACUUUAGCUAACUCGAGUUCAAUCUUACAGGUCCUUCGAGCUUUACAGAUGGUUCUCAAAUAUUUGCAAGGGGAAUAAGCGGUGCAGGUUUCAGAAGAAAGUGAGAAGAAGAUUAUAGAGGAGUGAGAAUACGAACAAACCAUUGUUUCAGAGUGUGGAGCAAAGAAGAUUUAUGGGAGAGUAACAUUUUAAAAUAUCAAAGGUCUGCAAGCUUUCGGAGUUUGAGAUGUUAUGUAUCAGCUUUGUUUGAUUGCAAACUUGAUGCAGGUCGCCAAAUAAUGACUGUGUUAACUCAUAACUUAAAAGUGUUUUCAUGUUAACUCAAUCUCAAUGUUUUCUUCUAUAUUUACAGAUUGCUUAUGGUAGCAGGAACAUUAACAAGCCAUGGAUGAAAAAGAAAAAAUGAGUCCCUGCAAGAUACGCUUUCAGAUUCAUAGUGACACCAAUAACAGCUGUGAAAUCCACCCACCAAAAGCCUCUUUACUCCGCAAGAAGGUUUGAUUGCUUUUUUCCUAUGUUACCAUCCAGAAAACAGGUGGGAAUAAGUUUUAAUGUUAAAUUCUUAUGAUAUGUGAACCGUAUAGGUUUAGGUGUAUGUGAAUGUUCAUUGCUUCAAAAUCUGAUACAUUGAUGUUAAUUUCAAUAACUAAUUGAUGAAAGCAAUAUGUUACAUUUUGUUAGAACAAAGCUUAAACUUACCAGGCACAGAAGGAAGAGAUAGGACAGAUGAAGGGAGUAUGGAUGGCUUGACGGUAAACGACAAGUCCUUCAAUAACCUGCAAACUCAAAGUGUGAACCAUCAACACAACCAAUUUCAAAGCUCGACUUUAAUUUUGCGAGAAAGAAGUAACAAAAAAUGAUGUCUGAAUUUCCCAAAAGGUAACACUAAUAGCCUCAUUUCUUCUACACAAGUUAUUUUCUCUGAUCUUGUUCGAUGUAAUUUUCAUUGAUUUUAGCAAUUGGCAAUCUGUGAAAAAAAUAUAUUGGAAUAUCAUCCUUCGAUGCUGGAUGCAUAUCGUCGUGGUGGUGAUCAUUUUAGCUUCGUGUGCACUAGGUUAAGCUAAUUAACAGCUUAGCAACUAUAAAUCCUCAAACAAAAGAAAAUUUAUGUAAUCAAUAAAUCUUAAAUUUGUACAGUGGGUUGAUAGAUUUAAGAGUCUAAUUGCCCAUCUCGAAGAAAAUCAAUGUAAACCAGGAGUAGCAGGAUGAGGAGCAAGUAUUGCACUACACAGACAUCAGGCUUCCUUGCCAAGGUAAUAUCUUCUACAGAAUCUCUUUCCAUCUCUUCUCUCUCUCCUUCUCUGAAACAAUUGAGCAUCUCUGAAAACAAUUGUUCCUGCAGAAUCAAGCAUUGACGUUGAGCACAGAGCAGGCAUUGGAGGAUGUUCUACAUUCAUCGGUGUCCAAUCUUAAACAGGCAAGAGGUAGUUAGUAGUUAGUUAUCAAAAAUAGAGAUAAUAGGUUUUUCUACGGAACAUGAAUACGUAGCUUACUUACUGUUGUUAUGUAUUCUCUGUUUGCUUGACACCAUAGUUGGGAGAAGAUAAUGAAACAGUUAUAGAGCUUAUUGGUUUAGUUAAUGAGAUACUCACUAUUUAGUACAGAGUUUACGUUUUCAUAUGAAUCUUAACAUCCAUAUUACUAGAAAGAAAACAUAAAAGAAAACACAAAAUUCACACACAAAAUUCAUCGUAACAUACUAUAAAGCAAAUGAUAUGAAUACAUAAAUGAUAUGAAUUAGACUUCGAUUUUAAGAUGAUCAUAUAAGAUUCCUAGCUACCAUGUACAGAGAAUAAGGUGCAGGUAUAGAAAUGGUAUCACAUGUAUAUAUGUCGUUGAGCAUCCGGUUAGUGUUGGCAUCAUUUCCACUUUCCAACACCAAAAUGAUCUAGGACAUUCGAAACAGAGGAAAUAAUCUAAUUUUAUAAUUGUCUAGCUACUUAUAUUUUACAAAAUAUAUAAUUAAAACUAAUAUUUUAACAAACAAAAUUCAGUAUGCUCCAAAGCAAUUCAACAAUAAAUUGAUGACUAAAUACACAUCUAUAGAUGAGUUUUCAAUAAACACAUAAAUAAAAUUAGAUAACUAAAUAAACUGAAUUCCACUAUAAAAAUAUUGUCAACCUAAAAGAUAUAUAAAAGAUAAUAUAUCAACCACGCGUCUGUGGUCCAGUGGCGACAAUCAACCUGGGAAGUCAUGGGUUCGAUCCCGCUGGGAGGUAGUUGCUCUUGAGGGACCUUCGGGCCCAAUACGGACACGCCUGCAGACCCGUGGCCACUGGUGGGAUUUACAUGGGGUGAUCACCAGCCCUCCUGGAGGCCUCGGCGGGCUCCCCGGCUUGCUCCGGUGGACGGUCAUUGGUCACUAGUCGGGUCCUCACGAGGUCUCGGAUACCAGGGUCAACAAAAAAAAAAAAAAAAAAAAAAGGACGGUCAUUGGUCACUAGUCGGGUCCUCACGAGGUCUCGGAUACCAGGGUAAAAAAAAAAAAAAAAAAAAAUAAGUAUAUCAACCGAAAAAAUAAUAUGUAAGUUGAGCGAACCAAUAUAGGAGGAAAUAAUCAAUAGUUGGUUUAGUUAAUAAAAAAACUAAAUAAAACCGUGUGAAACAAGGACCGGACAAACAUUGAUUGGGGGAAGACAAAAUAUUUUAAUGAGUUAAAAUUAGGGCAAUUCUUUUCAAUAGUUCAUUUGAUGUUUUUGUCUCCAAAAUAAAUUUUCAAGCUGCAAAUCAACUAAAUAGCCUUUACUAAUUGAGUAAAAAUCUAUAAUAUCUUUAUUUUAAUUGUAAUCAAAUUAGAACAAAUAAUAAAUUGCAACCACAAAAGAGAAAAACAUUGCGACGGUGAUGAUGAGCAUUUCCGACGACGAACUGUUCAAAUCAUCUCCGACGAUGAACUGUUCAAAUCAUCUCCUCACGACGAAUCAAGCUGUGAUUCUCCUGUCGACGAAUCAAGUUGUGGAUCAGUACGUUUCAAUCAUUUUAUCAAUGAUUUACAAAGAAAAACUAAAUUCUACUUAGAGUUUUCGAAUUGAAAUUUGGGAGUUUCGUGUUAUUGUUCUUCGGAGUUCGGAUGAUACAUUUGAGCUUGCUUUGUUGUUUGAAUCCAAUAUGGAAAGCAGAAUCAGAGUUACAAAGAAUAAAUUUCAGGAAGUUUUCCUUUACGGCUUACGAAUAAAGAGAUGAGCUUACCUACCUUACUUUUUGGUAAGAAAUUCAGAUUAGUCUGUAAAAUAAAAUUUCAAAUGACGUUCCUUCUAUAUACUGUCCACAUGGUACUUAAAAAUAUAAGUUUGUUCUCUAAAUAAAACAUCAACUUUACUAUAUGUUUAAAUUCCAACUAAAUAAAAUUUGUUACAACUAUCGGCUUUUUAAUCUACUUUUAUUGAAUCGAUUGGUCACAACCACUUAUGCUAUUCUAGUUUCAACUAAACAUCUAAAAACAAAGUAAUACACAACGGUUGCUAACCACUAUCAAAUGGAUCGACAAAUAUCAUUUUCUUUCAACAUAUUUUCAUUUUCAUAUUUUUGAAUAUAUAUUCUUUACUAAGACCAUAAAAUGUUUGUAAAUUCAUGUAAAAAUAAAAUACACGAAACCACUAGUAGUUGAUAAAUUGCAACUUCUGAUACCAUAAAACCAGAGUUCAAAAGUCCACCAAACACAAUUUAAACGUUUUUAACCCACACAAAUUUAUUGAUGGGUCCACCCUUGCAUAUAAUUCAUAAAAAGUUAGUAUAAUUACAUUCUUUUGUUUAAAUUUGUGAACUAUAUAUGUGGAACACGUAAAUUAGAAUAAAAGAAUGUUUUAAUAUAUUUAAUUACACCUAUUUUAAUAAUAUAAGUUAUAUAUUAUAAAAGUAAAUAUAUUUUCUAAACAUAAACAAUUUUACUAUAUCUAUAACACUAUAUUAAAAACUGAUAUAAAAUUAGAUAACUAAUAUUUUAAAUUUGUAUAUAAAUUAUGUGGGUUGAAAGAUAUCUGCAAUGUAAAAUGUAUUGAAUCGCUCCCGCAUUAUGUUUAGAAUAACAAAAUUGCAUUGGAAACUUUAAUAUGUAUCUAUUCAUUUCCAGCCCUAAUCAUGCCAGGUUGUCUUGCUGAGCUUGGAGACUGUGUCAUCCUUUCUGGUGAAAUAGUACAUUAAAUUUAAUAGCUAAAUAACCCAACGGUAUUCUACAUUAAUAUCCUGGGACAAUCAAUUAGCACAAUUUUUUGCAUGUCUUUUUAUACUUGUCUCAUACUACUUAAAGAAAGAGAGGAGAACAAAACGAAUGAGCAUCACACAUCAUGAAGAGCCCUGUCGACCAUAGUAUCCCCAAGCCAGCCAUACCGGAGUGGAUAACCGAGACGACCAAUGGUGGAACCGCCCGUCAAGUCGAUCUCUAUACAGGAAUCAAUGGAUGGGCUUCCCCUCCAGGAGACGGCUUCUCUGUCCGCUCCGCUGACUACUUCACCAACAAACAGAAAUGUCCCGGAGGAGACUACCUCCUCUCUCUCGCUGGCGUUGACUGGCUCAAAUCCAGUACCAAACUCGGUAACAUCCUAGCUCGUCCCGACAACCGCGUGGCUCACGCGCUCAGAAAAGCACAGUCUCUUGGCCGGUCCCAAAAUGGCUUCAUCUUCGCUGUGAAUUUUCAUAUUCCAGUCAAGGAACACCACCACUCGGUGCACUACUUCGUGACGGAAGAACCCAUUCCAUCAGACUCUCUCCUGAAACGGUUCAUAGACGGAGACGACUCGUUCCGUAACGAGAGGUUCAAGAUAGUGAGCCAAGUCGUGAAAGGGCCCUGGAUAGUUAAAGCGGCCGCAGGGCAGUUCGGCGCGUUUCUUGUGGCUAGGACCGUGAAGUGUACUUACCAUAAAGGACCGAACUACUUUGAGGUCGAUGUCGAUACAGGUAGCUGGCCGAUCUUGGCGGCGCUUGUACGGCUUUUGUUCGAGUACUCCAGGUACCUUACGGUCGACAUUGGCUACGUUGUUGAGGCGCAAGAAGAGGAUGAGCUGCCGGAGAGACUGAUCGGAGGUAUUAGAUUGUGUCAUAUGGAGGUAUCGUCGGCGUUUGUGGUCGAACCGGAGCCACUGAAACCGUACAGAAUGAUGGGUUCACUGGAAGCAAAGCCACCACGACGACAUUAGUAAUAACUGGUUAUGAAUAAACAUGAAAUAUAUAAAAUCAAUCAUUUCAAGUAUAAUAUUAAACCAAUUAAUGUCUACUAUUUUUGUUUUCUAAAGAAAGAUCGUUAUGUGUAACAGUGUAAGCAAAUCGUAUAUUUAAAUUUAGCUGAAGAUAUACUUAUAUUUAAUAUUUAUUCUUUUGAGUUAAAUAAUUAGUGUAUUAUCUCAGAUCAGCCAUCCCUUUGGGUUCACUGGGUGAAGUUUAUUUGAUUUGAAAAGUUUGUUUUUUGGUCGGUAAUAAAAAAACAAACGAUGAAUCGUGGAUAUGGACGAAAAUACCAAAAGCCAGAAGUUUGACAAGAUAUUUUUCGAGUUAAUGUUAGAGGCGGUAAUAGUCAUCAUCGUUCUAAUACUCAUCAUUGUCUAAAUAUGGAUGCCUAAAGGAUGUACUGCGGGAACCAGUCUCGAUUGACAUGGGGAUAGGCAAUCCAGUACAGUGAAGUGUUAGCUUUAGCAUCACCAUCGACAACAUUGGAUAACUCUACUAAAUGAUAAAAAGGACAAGAUUGAAAAUGUCAGAAACAGAGCAUCACGGGGAAAGAGAGAGAGAGAUUCUUAGACUAUGUACAUUGGUGUGAUUAAUUCAACACCCUAAUUUCUACUUUUUACACUCCACAUCAUCUUUUAUCUCUUCCAUCUAACAAUUCAACACCCACUCAAUUUUUAUACUCUACAAUAGUUUUGUUUAAUAAAAUUCAACACCCUAUCUUAUUUUUAUAUUGUUAAAAGUUUUCAAUUAGUUUAAUUAAAACCAUAAAAAUAAAACUUUUUUAAUUAUGUUUUUACAAAUAACAAAAUAGAAAAUAUUAAUAGUCACUAAUUGUUUCUUAAAUCAUCUUAUUAAAAAGUUUUACAAAAACUUAAAAAUGCAUUGCAACGCAAUAAUAAACACACAAAACAACUAAUAAAGCACACAUAACUUGAUUAAUACAAUAGACAUAACUUAUACAAACAAUAAAACUUUCAGUAUCUUUAAUCAUGGAUUACUUGUGAAUUUGGCCUUAUAUGUGUUUGACUAAAUCUGCUUGUAAUUCGUGAUGUACAUUUGAAUCACGUAAUUCGGAUCUAGCACGCACAUGGUUUGCAAAUGCAGGUAGCACUUCGUCGAGAAUGGUUAUUGUGUAUUUGAUCCACUUGCCUCAGAUUGAUAAUAAUCGGUCCAAUGUUGAAGAUAAGAGUCUUGUUCAUCCUCAACAAUCAUAUUAUGCAAUAUUAUGCAAUUUUGGAAUUGGUUGAAAGAGUGAUUUUGAAAUUGAUAGUUGUUGGAAUUUGGAUAAUUAAAAGGAUAAUUAGUAGAAUUUUGAGCAUCAGAAGGAUUAUUGUUAGGAUUCAUUCUUGGUAAAAAGGAUAAUUAAAAAUAUAAUCAAGAGAUUAAAGAUAGAAUGAUAGAAAAUUAUAGUAGAAAUAAAAGUUUUUUUUGUAUCCAAAUCAAAUGAACCAAGUCUCUAUUUAUAGAGUAGAAAAAAUUACGAAUUUUGAUAUAUAAAAAGUAAAUUUAUAAAUUAAUUUAGUUAUAAAUAAUUGUUGUUGAAUAAUUGAGAUAAGAAAAUAAAUCCAGAAUCUACACAAACCAAUAAAAAAAUGACACAGAUGCAAAAGUGGGCUCCAUUUUGUGUUUAUUCAAAUCCACAUCGACGUUCAACAGCUUCAUUAUUUGGUCUCUUCUUAUUCAACACCUUCAAUGUAUAUAGACUUAUAUAGAAACAAGCGUGAAUUAUUCUCGUAAGAAAAUAAAGAAACUUAAGAGAAUCAACUACAAGAGUUAUUCUUGGGUUCACCCCCUAGGAUGAACCUAAAGGUUAACCAACCAAUAGAAAAUUGUCAUUUUAAAUCUAGUAUCUUUUAAUUAAGGAAACCAAAUAACUUGGCAAAUUAUAUUAUUUUUUCAAAAUAAAAUUUUAAAAUAAAUAAAAAUAAUAUAUAAAAAACGAAUUAAAAAAAAAAAAUGUUGUCAACAAAACACUAAACCCUAAUACUAAACCCUAAACUCUAAUCCUAAACCCUAAAUCCUUGGGUAAACCCUAAAUCUUUGGGUAAACCCCUAAACCCUUGGAAAAACACUAAACAUGUUGUCAACAAAACACUAAACCCUAAACUCUAAUCCUAAACCCUAAACCCUUGGGAAAACCUUAAACCCUUGGGUAAACCCUAAACUCUUGGGUAAACCCUAAACCCUUAGGUAAACCCUAAACCCUUGGAAAAACACUAAACAUUUGGAUAAAUUCUAAAUUCUAAAUCUUAAACACUAAACUCCAAAUCUUAAAAAUAAAUAUUUUUUUUAAAUAAUAUUUUUUUAGAACUAUUGUUAUUUCUCUUUAUUUAAUUUUUAAUUUUUUAUUUUAAAAGCAUAAUAUAAUUUGGUAAGUUAUUUUGUUUCCUUAAUUAAAAGAUACUAGAUAUAAAAUGACAACUUUCUAUUGGUUAGUGAACCUAAAAGUUCACCCUAGGGGGUGAACCCAGUCCAACUACAAUUGAGGCAAAUACCUUUUCCGGGUUUGUAGAUUGAUUAUGUAUGAAUAAUUUAUAAUUCAUUAGACCGUAUUUAUAUAGGACUUUUUCUUGGGUUCACCCCCUAGGGUGAACCCCAACCAAUAGAAAGUUGUCAUUUUAGAUCUAGUAUCUUUUAAUUAAGGAAACAAAAUAACUUGCCAAAUUAUAUUAUGCUUUUAAAAUAAAAAAUAAAAAAUUAAGUAAAUAAAAAUAACAAUAGUUCUAAAAAAAUAUUGUUUAAAAAAAAUAUUUAUUUUUAAGAUUUAGAGUUUAGUGUUUAAGAUUUAUAAUUUAGAAUUUAUCCAAAUGUUUAGUGUUUUUCCAAGGGUUUAGGGUUUACCUACGGGUUUAGGGUUUACCCAAGGGUUUAGAGUUUACCCAAGGGUUUAAGGUUUUCCCAAGGGUUUAGGGUUUAGGAUUAGAGUUUAGGGUUUAGUGUUUUGUUGACAACAUGUUUAGUGUUUUUCCAAGGGUUUAGGGGUUUUACCCAAGGAUUUAGGGUUUACUUAAGGAUUUAGGGUUUAGGAUUUGAGUUUAGGGUUUAGUAUUAGAGUUUAGGGUUUAGUGUUUUGUUGACAACAUUUUUUUUUUUUGAAUUCGUUUUUUAUAUAUUAUUUUUAUUUAUUUUUAAAUUUUAUUUUGAAAAAAUAAUAUAAUUUGCAAGUUAUUUGGUUUCCUUAAUUAAAAGAUACUAGAUUUAAAAUGACAACUUUCUAUUGGUUGGUGAACCUAAAGGUUCACCCUAGGGGGUGAACCCAAGAAUAACUCUUUAUAUAGCUUCAAAACCCAAUUUUUUUUUUCAGAAAAACAUUCUUAUCUCACCAAAUGUAUAUUUUUUAUUCCUAAAAACCUACCAAAACCGAUUGGAAAUCCAGCUUAUAAAUUGGUACAUUGAGGUGUGCGGUCGAGUGAAUCUGAUUAAUUAGCCGAGGAUCAUAAAUGAGUUUUUUGGGGGACUUAGCAAGGAAUUUUAGAGUAGAUAAAAGACCAUGGAAUACGAUUGUGACUUUUUACUGGUGCAUAAAAUUUUUAGUCACUUCUAAAAUCAGCAGGAACCAGAUUAGAGAAGCUUACUCCCUCAACACAUGGAGCUAAGGGAUUUGGUUUACUCAUGCUACUCUAAUACUUUUUUUUAUGCAAUUGAUUGUGAUGAAGAACAGCCUGGCCACUAGAGGUAAAGAUGAUACAAUGGAAUGCAAACGUGGAUUUCCAAGAGGUCCAAGAAACUCAUCAACGUCUCUUUUUUAAAUGUUCACAUUCUGAAAAGAUAUGGAAGUCGCUCCCAAGGCCUAAUGGACACAGAUUAUACGGCAAAAUGGUCUUCUAUCAUUCAACUUGCAUUAGAUACAUACAUGGACACAGUUAAAUUAUCCCUGCUAAGAUAUGCUCUGCAAAUAAUGACGCAUGGCAUUUAGAUCGAGGGAGAGAAAUUUAAGACACCAUGGAGAACGACCACUGUAACGAGAAUGCCUAAUAAUUGGAGACGACAACUUGAAAGAAGCACUAUUCACUUGGUACUCAACACGGCCUUAAAGAUGAGUCUUAAACAAACAGUUUUUGAAAUCUGUUUUUCUUAGUAGUUGCAUUCUCCAGCACUCUUAAGCACUUGAUGUACAAAGUUUUUGAGUGAAUACAUUUUACAUUUAUUAGAAGAAAAUGAUCGAAUUAACAGGUUUCAGAUAUCAUACAUUAAAAUCUUUACAGGUUUUGGAUGUUAGUUUUGAUAUUAUUAUUACAAUAAUCGAUUUUGUGGACGAAACCCACCAAUCACAAGCCUCGGAUCUGAUACUAUGGGGUUCAAAAAGUAGCACAAGCCAAACAAAGCAUCGAGAAGUUUCCACAUCACGCCAUUAAAAAUAGCCACGUUGUUUCGUUGAGUUUGGAGACUCUAAAUCUUCCUUUGUCAUGAUACAGCACAUUAACUCAACGGUACCAACAUUGAUAACCAUGGACCAUUGGCGCAUUUUUUUGCAUGUUUUUUUAGUGAGCCCCAUCACACAUCAUGAAUCAAACCCAAAGCCCUUCUGAUGAUAACAACACCAAGCCGACCAGAACCGGAGAGAAGUCCACAGAACCGGAGUGGAUAACCGAAACGACCAAUGGUGGAUCCACACGCCACGUCGAUCUCCAUACAGGAAUCAACGGCUGGGCUUCACCUCCAGGAGACGUUUUCUCUGUCCGAUCCGCCGACUACUUCACCAACAAACAGAAAUGUCCCGGCGGAGACUACCUCCUCUCUGCCGCCGGCGUUGACUGGCUCAAAUCCAGUACCAAACUCGAUAACAUCCUAGCUCGUCCCGACAACCGCGUGUCUCACGCGCUCAGAAAAGCGCAGUCUCUUGGCCGGUCCCAAAACGGCUUCAUCUUCGCUGUGAAUUUUCAUAUUCCAGGCAAGGAACACCACCACUCGGUGCACUACUUCGCGACGGAGGAACCCAUUCCAUCAGACUCUCUCCUGAAACGGUUCAUAGACGGAGACGACUCGUUCCGUAACGAGAGGUUCAAGAUAGUGAGCCAAGUCGUGAAAGGGCCCUGGAUAGUUAAAGCGGCGGCAGGGCAGUUCGGCGCGUUCCUUGCGGCUAAGACAGUGAAGUGUACUUACCAUAAAGGACCAAACUACUUUGAGAUCGACGUCGAUACAGGUAGCUGGCCAAUCUUGGCGGCGCUUGUACGGCUUUUGUUCGAGUACUCCAGGUACCUUACGGUCGACAUUGGCUAACGUGGUUGGGGCAGUCGAUACAGGUAGCGGGCCGAUCUUGGCGGCGCUUGUACGGCUUUUGUUCGAGUACUCCAGGUACCUUACGGUCGACAUUGGCUACGUUGUUGAGGCGCAAGAAGAGGAUGAGCUGCCGGAGAGACUGAUCGGAGGCAUUAGAUUGUGUCAUAUGGAGGUAUCGUCGGCGUUUGUGGUCGACCCGCAGCCACUGAAACUGUACAGAAUGAUGGGUUCGGCGGAAGCAAGCCACGACGACAACACGCAUUGAAUUAAUUUCAAGUAAUUUUUAAUAGAAAGAUUAAAACAUUCAUAAACUGUUAUGGACUUUUUUUUGUCGGCAACUUUUUAUUUAUUAUGAAUAACCCAUAAAGGAACUGUUAUGAAAAAGAAAAAAAAAUAACCCAUAAAGGCUGCACACUAGUUGUCAUCGUGUCACGAGACCAAGGAUAGAGUACAGCCACGUUGCCUGUGUAAUGGUUAUUUUAUGGUGAUGAUGAUUGAGACGUGUCACAUUGUUCAAUCUCAUAAAUUGUUAUGAAUAAACAUCAAAUAAAUAAAAUCAUAAUUGAAAAAAAAAAAAUCAUAAUUAUAUUCUCUCAUUUUCAAGUUUAUUAAAGCCAAUGUCAACUGUUUUUUGUUUGGUUCAUAUACUUAAAAUUAGCCGAAGUUGUACGUAGUUUUUAUUCUUUCGAGUUACGAAUCCAACUGAAAGCUGUCUCUUACUAUUCGAUGGAAGUAAAACAUUACGAAUCCAAUACUACCAGACUGUCUGGGCCCUCUUUAGGUCGGCUAACGAACAUCUGUUAACAUUAAUUUGGUUACUCAGCACCAUCAAAGCUGUUAACAAGUUUGGACUCACUUCAGAAAAUAAAUGCGACAGCCACCACAAAAGCUUACUGGACAUGCGUCUAGUGAAAAUCACUCCUACAUAAUGGUAUGAUAUUUUUUGUGAUCACACACAAGACAAGUCACUCUUUACUUUUUGAUGAUUCAGAGGUUUUGAAUCCCUAUGUAAAUAUGUAAUAAGCUUUUGGAAAAAACUCAAUCAGUCAAUGGUGGAGCAAAUCUAACCCGAUAAGCUGGCAACUGAGAAAAUGGUGGAUAGGGCCAAAAACAAAGGAAACAUCCCUUAUUAGCAUUAAUUCGAGCAUAAGCAUCUAAAUAUUCAAUCACAAAUUCAUCAAAAAACAUCUAUAACGCAAAUAUCAGAUCAGAACAAAACAUUAAGCCCAAAUCCAUGUCACGACGUUUCCUCACUGAGGUUUUUGUUUGGGAGGCUGACGAUCAGAGGCCAAUCUGUAAAUCCAGUAAACCUACAAAUCAAAUAAACCAAAACAAGAUCAACGAUCGGUGAUGCGAACAACAUAUAGACCUCUUAUUCGAAAUAGAGAGCAGGUUAAGUUACCAAGGCGAUGACGUGAGCUGCGGCUAGGAAAGUUACCAAAGCCGGCACUAGAUCCACAGACUUCUCCAUCGCAGGCGAAGCGAAAUAGACUCUGGAACGGAUCGAUCUGGCUCUAUACUUCACCGAAGUUCCUCUGCCGGAGACGACUAAGAUUGUAUAUGUGAGACAGCGAGAGAGAAGAGUCGUCGUCGUCGACUUAUCUACGCUUCGCCGAUUUAAAAUAUAUCAGAACAAUGUUAACCUCACUCCAGUUAUGUUGAACGUAUGGGCCUUAACACUGAUCCGGCCCAUAUAACUUCUCCAAGUAACAUAAACGCCGACGAUUGCCACGUGUCUUCCACGUGGCGCAUCGAGCCCUACGUGGAGAGAUACUCAAAGUCAUAUUGGCGAUCUCGGUUGCGCAUUUUAGCGAACAGUUUCUGCGCAGAAGAGCUACGAGUGUGUUAAUGGGAUUGUCGCACACUGCUCGAGUGAAUAUCGUGUUCUAGCUUUUAGCCGAUGAGGAAUGUCGUCGUUGCUCUCCGCCGUCACCGCCGUGUCUCGCUGUUCCAGAGAGGUUCGUAUUUCUUCCCUUUUCGGUCUCGCAUUCGAUGGCAAAUUUGAUGUUUCGUCAAUAGAUUCUAGGAAAAAUUGCGAUUGUGAAUCCACUUGAAUUGUGAUUGUCACGAGCGUGGGAGAGAUUUGAAAUAUGGAUAUUAGUUUUGUUGAUGCUGAUUACUCUCUGCUUUGUAACUCCAUGGUUUCUCGAGCUAAGCUUCAGUGAAUUUUCUCUCUUAUCUUUGCUAAAUCAGCUCAGGGAUGUAGAGAAGUUGUGUAGUAGGUUAAAUUGAAGAUGAUGCUGAUAUUUUUCUCCUUUCUGAAAUUAUUUUAUGUUGAUGAGAUUGUUUCUAGUUGUAGCUUCACGUGAUGACCAACCUAUUUGCUCCAAGCUUGUGGGAUACAUAUCGAGAGGAAAGGAUGGUGAACUUGGAAGACGGACUAAUACAUGGAUUUCACCAUUUUACUUGCAACACAGAACGUGAGUUCUUGAUCAUCAUACCGAAUAAUAUGUGGAUUAGUGGAUACACAACCAGUACUGAGUUCAUCUUUUUCUUUGAAAAAUGGGCUUCACAGGUAUUCGACCGAAUUCACCAGCGUUCAUGGUGGAAGACCUACGGCAGAGUAUGCAAAGUUGCGGAGAGAAUCCCUUGAAACCGAAUUUGGACAAGCUCUUGGAGCGUAUAGCUCGAAAAGUUUCUCUGCAGUGUAUCGUUUUGGCCCCUUUUUGGCGCUAUAUAGAGCUGCGAUCAUUUCGUUCUAUGUGGUGAAGCUUACCUUUUGGCAGCUGUUUGUUCAGGAUAUGAGGAAACGGGCUGUCAAGGUCUGUUUACUCGAGCCUUUGAUGAUCUGUUGUUUAAUUAGAUGAAAUGAAGAGUACUCUUUGGACAUAUGGUUCGGCCAGUAAUUAAUUUAGUGGUAUUUUAUCACAUUUUGGAUGCAGUUCCGUGAGACUCUUAUCAGCUUGGGGCCUUUCUACAUUAAGGCAUGUUUGUUGUUCGCUUUUUAUUCCAGUACUCCUCUAAAUCUCUUCCUCUUCUUCUCUUGAAUCCUCACAAAAUAAUACACUAUUUUGGGCUGCAGCUCGGACAGGCGCUGAGCACAAGAGCAGACAUAUUACCCUCUAUUUAUUGUCAGGAGCUUUCAAAAUUGCAGGUAGCCAAUCUUUCUUUCUUUCGUUCUUUCAAAUUAUCCAUAUAGUUGUGCUGGAAUAAUUGGAUAUUGGAUAUUGUUUUUUUGGAUUAUUAUAGGAUCAGAUUCCUCCAUUUCCAAAUAGCGUUGCCAUGCGAUGUAUUGAAGAGCAACUGGGUGCUCCAGUGUCAAAACUUUUUGCCGAUAUCAGUCCUAAGCCUGUUGCUGCUGCAUCUCUGGGCCAGGUAUACAAAGGUUAGACACCUUUUUAACUGUGGUUGGAUUUCUUCUCUCCGGUGUCUGAUGCUAUCCUCGCCAUUUUUCUCAAUUUAGAGUUACUAGAAGCUAAACGUUUCACCUUUUCCCUUCAAGUAUUGCAGCUCAUCUGCAUUCUGGACAGUUGGUAGCUGUGAAGGUUCAGAGACCUGGAAUGUCACUCUCACUAACACGUGAUGCGCUCUUAUUCCAUAUGAUCGGGGGACAACUCAAACGAUUUGCAAAAGCCCGUAAGGAUCUUUUGGUAGCAGUGAAUGAAAUGGUGAGUCAAUUAUCUGAAACGUUAGGACUAGUUCUCUGCUUAUAUAUAUUAUGCAAACGUGCUUAUGUCUCUCUGGAAUGAACAGGUCAGGCAUAUGUUUGAUGAAAUAGAUUACGUUCGAGAGGCAAAAAAUGCAGAACGAUUUGCUUCUCUAUACUCUUUCGAUUCAGGUAGGCUCUCUUGUUUCGAAUUGUGCAUUCUCUUGAAAUACCAUUGUCAGGUCCAUAAUAUCUUUAAAUUUUGACAGCGAAUGAUCAGGUUAAUGAUAACGCUGCACCUAGGAAUAUGUCCAAGAAUCACAGAGCAGAGAACAUUAAAGUCCCUAAAAUAUACUGGAAUUUUACACGCACCGCGGUUCUCACAAUGGAAUGGGUCGAUGGCAUAAAACUAACAGAUGAAAUUAAGCUGAAAAGGGCUUCUCUUGAUAGAAGGGACUUGAUCGAUCAGGUAAAUAACUAACUGAUAACUAAUUAUGCUAGGUUAAUGUCCUCACAUAGUGAAAAAAUUAAUCUCUGGACAGAAACUUGGUGAUUCUGAGAGAUUGGUCUGGGCUUAGUACUGCUAGUUUCAUGAACGUUCAACUGAGAGCCUUGAAUUGAUUUGUAUUACAGGGCCUAUCAUGCUCGUUAAAGCAGCUGCUUGAGGUUGGAUUCUUUCAUGCUGAUCCGCACCCAGGAAAUCUUGUGGCUUCUAAAGAAGGGUCUCUUGUUUAUUUCGACUUCGGGAUGAUGGGGAAUAUCCCACGUCAUUACCGUGUGGGACUUAUUCAAAUUGUAAGCUCUACUCCAGUUUAUCAUUUCCUUUUCCUCAGUCUUACAUGCGUGUGGUCUCUCUAGCCUCUCUCCUCGAUUUUGCUUAUAAAAUAUACUACAUGCAACGUCCUUUUUUGUUGAAGAUGGAGAAUAAGAACUUUUCCAUCGAAGAUCGUUAUUUAGUUGAUUUUUGAUUAGUUCUAUUGCGGUUGCAGCUGGUGCAUUUUGUCAACCGUGACUCUCUAAGUUUGGCAAAUGAUUUCCUUUCAUUGGGUUUUUUACCUGAAGGAGUCGAUAUACAAGCAGUUUCAAAUGCUUUACGUUCUUCUUUUGGUUCUAGUACAAGAAUUUCACAAGAUUUCCAGGUAUGUCCUUCUUCAUCUUGUAAUGAAUAUUAGUAAAUUACACUCAACCCUACAGAAUAGAUUCUCCAACUCACCGAUUGUCCAAAACAUUUGAGGGGUGCUAAAAUCUGAGAAAGAUAUCAGAUUACUUUUCCAACGGUUAGAAACCCAAUCAGUAGCAGAGUUGGUGAUAGUUGACAGAAUUUUCCACCGUGAUGAUUACUUUGUCCUCUCACAGUGCCAUAAUCCUUACUAUCUUUACUGUGCAGGGGGUUAUGGAACAACUGUAUGAUGUUAUGUACGACUUCAAUUUCUCACUGCCUCCAGAUUAUGCUCUUGUGAUAAGAUCCCUUGGUUCACUAGAAGGUACUGCAAAGAUUCUUGAUCCAGAGUUCAAAGUGAUAGAGAGCGCGUAUCCAUUUGUGAUCGGGAGGCUAUUAGCAGAUCCAAGCCCAGAUAUGAGGAAGAUUCUAAGGGAACUUGUCAUUUGUAACGAUGGAUCAAUAAGGUGGAAUCGGCUUGAACGCUUGGUACGUUCACACAACUCUCCUCUUUACGAUUUAAUUGGUUAUUUUUUUUGUGAAACCGAGUAAUCUGAAGAAUGAGCUAACAAACAACUCACUCUUUCAGGUAGCAGCGAUAUCCGAACAGGCUUCUGUGACAUCUGGAGAUUCUCCAGAAGACAAAACGUUGAAGAAAUCAUCAGAACUGAAAUCAUUCGACAUGCAUUCAGUAGUUUCCGCGACAGAAGAUCUGCUAUUGUUCAUAUUGUCAGAGAAAGGGCAGAGAGUUCGGGUCUUCCUUCUUCAGGACAUAAUCAGAGUGGUUGAUAUAUUCCUGGAAGAAGGGGUUCUUGAUCUGAACAUGAAGAAGAAGCAAACCAUCAAUCUUAGGGUCAGUAAUCAUCAAAACCUUUAAACAAAAAUCCUCUCAUUGGAUUCUGAAGAAACUUUUAUUAUUAAGUCUCAUCAUUUUACUCUCUCUCUAUGUAUAUAUUCUCAGGACGAAGGGACGAUGAAAAGAGUGAGCAAUGGUUUCAAAUGUGUGAGCGAGGCCGUGAAGCUUGCACCAGGAAUGUGGACAGCAAUGCUUCUUCGGAUGUCAAGGAAGCCUGAGGUUCACAGUUAUGCUUUAGAUAUAGUUUCUGCACUGUGUACACAUUUAGGCCAGAAAAUGCCUAACAAUUGUUGGAUCCUUUUCUCCAAACUGCUCCAUCACAACAAGAAGAGCCAAUAAAUUAAUUUUAUACUCACUUAUUUCAUCUUAUUUAUUACCUACUGCUAGAGAAUAUACACCAGGAAUAUGUAACAGUUUAAAAUAUCCGUCUACGUGUCAUUUUGGAGAUCUGUGGUUGAACUGUUUUUUAUUUGACUUGCAAGUCCAUAAAGCUUUCUAUAUUUAGCAAAGACCAUAGGCACCACUGAUCCUUUGCCGGAAAAAGCUGAACACCAUCGCUUCCGGAAAACGUCGAACCGCUGCUUUCUGUUUCCUUAUUUGGUUUCCUUGGACUAUGAAACCUCUCUCACCCUUCUUUCUCUUCUCUCCAAGCCAUCCUCUCUGUAAGUUUUUGAAUUCAUGUAUGCUUAACAUCAUUACCAGAUUCUGUUGCAUUUGAGAAUUCUGCAAAAGGAAAAAGAACAAUGGGAUAUAAGGACUUGGUACUGUCGUAUUCGAAUAAGAUGCGGGUUGUUGAAGCCCCAGCAAGUGGAGGCGGUAUCAGGUCACACUUCCCUCUUUCUCUCUGUUCCAUCUCAACAUGAGAUUGAUUCUUUGCUAUCCAAUUGUUGUUGUUGUGUGGCUGAGGUUACUUAAAUGAAUAGAGUCAUUUAAAACUCUCUCCAUCUGCUCCUUCAAGAUCUUCAUACAUUUUUGUUUUUGAGUGAGAGCUCUCCUUAACAUGACUUUAUUGAUCAACAAUGUUCCCAUUCAUUUUAACUUUCAGCCAGAACGAAAAGUUUAGCUAUGGGUAUGCGAGCUCCGCUGGAAAGAGAUCAUCCAUGGAAGACUUUUUCGAAACAAGAAUCGACGGUAUCGAUGGAGAAAUCGUUGGUCUCUUUGGAGUCUUUGAUGGUAUUCUUCUGGACCACCCAUCUCUCAUACCAUAUGGAACGAGCAAAUCUGAAUAAUAUUCCUUGCAGGACAUGGAGGAGCCGCAGCAGCUGAGUAUUUGAAGCGUCAUCUUUUCAGCAAUCUUAUCACUCAUCCUAACUUCAUUUCCGACACCAAAUCUGCCAUAGGUCUCUUUACUUCCCCUCUAAUCUUCCUUUGUUUUCCAACUUAAUCAUUGUUUGAUCUAAUUGCUUCGUUUUUUUUUUCUUUUUCCUUCCAGCUGAUGCCUAUAAUCAUACAGACUCUGAACUUCUCAAGUCAGAAAAUAAUCACACUAUAGACGCUGGUUCAACCGCGUCUACUGCUAUUCUCGUUCGUGAUCGCUUACUUGUUGCAAACGUUGGUGAUUCCAGAGCUGUUAUCUGUAGAGCCGGAACUGGUACACUAUCUUAUUGAGAUCUGUCAUAACUUAUGAUACUGUGAAUGUUUUUUAAUGAGAUGUUUUGUAGCCUUUGCUGUGUCAAGAGACCAUAAACCUGAUCAAAGCGAUGAGCGUGAACGCAUUGAGAAUGCUGGUGGUUUUGUCAUGUGGGCUGGUAAUAAAAAAGAAACUGUUAGAAUUAUUACUUCUCACUUCUUUUUUUUUUUACUGCAUAUAGUCCUCUGAUUCCUAGAUUGAAUAGGGACUUGGAGAGUUGGAGGAGUUCUUGCAGUUUCUCGUUCCUUUGGUGAUCGACUUCUGAAAGAGUAUGUUAUUGCUGACCCUGAGAUUCAGGUACAUAUGAUGACUUCACUUUCAUAUGAAUCUUACCACAUACAGAUCUACUUGUGUUCAAAGUGUCAUGUCUUCAUUGCAGGAAGAGAAGAUUGAUGACUCUCUUGAGUUUCUGAUCCUUGCCAGCGAUGGACUUUGGGAUGUUUUCUCUAAUGAGGUUUGUGAAUUUGACUUAUGCUGUCUUAGAUGAAUGAUGAUGAUAUAAAUCUUACUUUCUUUGGUGUGGCAGGAAGCUGUUGAAGUGGUGAAAGAGGUUGAAGAUCCAGAGGAGUCAACCAAGAAACUUGUGGGAGAAGCAAUAAAGAGAGGAAGUGCUGACAAUAUUACAUGUGUAGUCGUACGUUUCCUGGAGAGCAAGAAUGCUCAUACCAAAGCAGAUGCCAGCUCAACCCAGGAAAUAGCAACCAACGGCCAAACCGUAGUUACAAGUGAUGCGGAACACAAUGUCUCAGCCAAUGAAACCAAUCAAGACCAUACCGCAGUACUCAGAGACUUGGACCGCAAUGCUGAAAAUGAAAGCCUGAACCAAAAGCCAAUUGCAGCUGGAAGAAGCGUUUCUUCAGAAGAGAAUACUUCAGCAGGGGAAACGAAUCAAGUUCCAAACGCAGUUCACCGCGGCUCAGAGCCUAAGAGCUCCUCCAAGCAACCUUCCCAAGGUUACAUCACAGUGCACAACAAUAUGGACGAGAGCGUUGCUAAUCAGAAGCCUGUCAUAGCUGAGAAAAAGGCGAUUGCAGCAACCAACACCACCUCCUCAGAACAGAGCGGAUCAAUAGGUGAAAAUAAUCAAAAGCCAACCGCAGUUCACAGCGACUCCGCCACAAGCAAGUCAAGUAACGUCAACUCUAAUCACUAACUAAAAUGUCAUUUGUGAAUCAAAAUUUUGCCCGAGAGAAACUUCUCUCAUCAUUGUAAGUUUCUUUUCAUUGCUGUUUUUUUUUUUUUAAAGUUAUAAUUCCAAAUAAUGUAAUGUUCCUUCUGCCUUGUGCUAAACUUGUAAAUCUUAUAAAGUUGUUAAACUACUCACUCUUAUUUUUAGCAUGGGAUGUUACAGUCUUACCUCUAUCAUUAAGCUGUAAUAAAAUUGCAUGUUGCAUUUGGUGUUUAUGUCUAGAUAUAUGAAGUCUACAUGUAAGAGACCCCAAUAUGAUCUUUAGUCUCAUGUUUAAGAUCAUUAAUGUAUAUGUAUGCUGAAACGUUAGAAUCAGAUAGGUGAAAAUAAAAAACACUGCAUAGACAAGACAACAUGUUCAAAAUCACAUUAUCAUAUAUACAAGACAUAAGUUACAUAUAACACCACACAACCCAUUCUCUUCUACUCCCUCCCUUCCUCCACCAUACCAACAUCAACAUAAACAAAACAACUCUUAAAAGAAAAAAAGUUUGUUAAAACAUUACUAAAACGACGACACCAAACAAAACCCACAUAUGAAAAGAGUAUCUCUCUCUCUCACAGCAAUCUCUAAAAUGUAGGUACAAGUCCAAACCCGCUAAAGAUACCGCCAUGACCAACAACCACGUCGUUGCUCUCACUCGUAUCCGUCCGCUUCGCAAACCUUCCCUUGAUCCUCGGCCUCAUCUCUGCAUACGCUUUCCUCGAAGCAUACCUUAUCGUCUUCUCGAACUUCCUGUUCUUCCUCUUCUCUCUGUACCUCAUUACUCUCGCCUCUCUCUCCGCUGCCGUUAGCGGCACUGCCCUCUGAGUUCCCGGAUCGGUUACACUGGUUGCAGCACCACCGUAAGGGUAUGAAAUGUCAGCUACUGAGCCACCAUCUGGCACCACUCCCACUUCCAAUGAGGAUGACGAUACCUGCUGUAACAAACAAAAAACCUUGGAUUAGUAACAACUCUUACAAUAAAACGU
rnacentral:lncRNA from 1 species